rnacentral:lncRNA from 8 species
AUGGAUUCCUGGUCUCUGGAGGAGUUGGAGGAAGGGAUAGACUGGACUUGGUGGCAAGUAUUGGAGAGAUACAGAAGCCUGCCGGGGAAGCAGGUGAUGGCAGCGAGAGAGGAACAAGCACGGCAAGGACGGAAGCACGAGAGGCAGCCCCCCAAAAAAUGGGGGGGGGGGGGGGGGCACACGGGUAGAUUGGCGGAGUCAGGGUUGAGACCUGAGCCAACUCCCCGUGCUUAUCGUGGUGAGCCUGUGCCUGCUCCUCGCACUCUCCCUCCAGUGAGUCUAUUCAGCCUGGUAUGCCCUGUGCCUGCUCCACGUACCAGGCUGUCAUUACGUCUCCUCAGUCCGGUGAGACCCGUUCCGGCUACACGUAAGAAGCCUCCAGUGAUGAUCCAUGGUCCGAAGCCUCCAGUGAUCAUCCAUGGCACGAAGCCUCCAGUGAUGAUCCAUGGCCGGGAGCCUGUAGGGAUGAUCCAUGGCACAAAGCCUCCCGUGAUAAUCCAUGGCCCGGAGCCUCAAGUGAUAAUCCAUGGCAAGAAGCCUGUAGGGAUGAUCCAUGGCCCGGAGCCUGUAGGGAUGAUCCAUGGCACGAAGCCUCCAGUGAUAAUCCAUGGCCCGGAGCCUGUAGGGAUAAUCCAUGGCCCGGAGCCUGUAGAGAUAAUCCAUAGCACGAAGCCUCCAGUGAUAAUCCAUGGCCCGGAGCCUCCAGUGAUGAUCCAUGGCACAAAGCCUCCAGUGAUGAUCCAUGGCUUGGAGCCUGUAGCAACGGUCCCCAGUACAGAACCUGAUGAGACGGCCUACAGUACGGAACCUCCUAAGACAGCCUACAGUACGGAACCUCCUAAGACAGCCUACAGUACGGAACCUCCUGAGACAGCCUACAGUCCGGAACCUCCUGAGACAGCCUGCAGCCCAGAGUCUUCAGUGGCGGUCUGCAGCCCAGUCUUCAGCAGCGGUCUGCAGCCCAGAGUCUUCAGCGGCGGUCGGCAGCCCAUAUUCUUCAGCGGCGGCCUGCAGCCCAGAGUCUUCAGCGGCGGCCUGCAGUCCAGAGUCUUCAGCGGCGGUCGGCAGUUCAGAGCCUCUGGCGAUGAUCCACGGUCUGGUUCCUCCGGCGACACAGAAGCGGGGGGAUCAGCGGGCAGAGUGGGGGCUACGCCCCGAACCAGAGCCUCCGCCAAGAAUAGAUGCCCACCCGGACCUUCCCCUAUAGGUUCAGGUUUGCGGCCGGGAGUCCGCACCUUUGGGGGGGUUACUGUCACGCCCUGA